rnacentral:lncRNA from 1 species
AAGAUGUUGUACUUCACAGUAAGGGCUAGUUUCUAAACAUGAAAGAACACAUAGCUUAUGUAACAUGACAUUUGUUGGAGAAUAUGCCCUAGAAAAUCAUGAUAUCACAGAUAUAUACUAAAUAUCUGAAGGAGAUUAAGGAGAAAACAUUUCCAGCAGAGGAGUUCUUUAAUAUAGACAGAGCUUGUUUCAGAAUUGGUAUCUUCCUGAAUAUUUGGCUGCUUGGAAAAUGUUACGUUGGUGCUGGGAUUCAGCCCUUGCCUGGACAGAGGUGGCCACUAGAGUCGUUAGCAUGGACAUUGGCACCAGUGGCUACAUAGGUCCCAGGAUCGUAGCCAGCGAACUGGGGUGCCUCUAGAGACCACUUGAGAGGUGCAGAGACUGUGGGCCAGCCCCUCAUUCUUGUCUGAGACAGUGAUGCCCUCCCUACUCACUAAUUAUGCACAGCUAGCAGAGCUCUGAAAUGAAUGGCUUCAUUUAAUCACAAAAGAAGGAAUACCAGCAAGACCACCCAGGCCCCAGCUCCGGUUUUUCCUGAAGAAUUUGGCCGCAUCUCCCUUUUUGAAGGCAGAGUUUCAUCUUGCCUCAGGGAGAAGCAACUUCCUGGGCAUGCGUGUUAAGAGACAAAAAAAUGACGUUUGAUGACCACUCCACCAGAAAAGGGAAGAAAGCCUGAGGGGCCCGCCUGGACCUCCCUCAACACACUGCGCAUGCUCCAUUCCAAAGGGUAAGGCGAGCACUGCGCAUGCGGGAAACCAACCGUGUAAAGGAAGAAUCCUGGGAAAGAGGCAAGCCUAUGAAGUCCCAGGAUCAAGGUUAAAUACCUUCUUUUUUACUGUCUUCUUGUGCUCUCUUUUCUCUCUUGGACCUUCAGGCGCCUGCUUGGGUCUCUUUCAAGAGAAUUUUCCUUUCUUUCCUGUUCUAAAGGCUUUUAACUAAACUUCCACUCCUGUUCUGAAACUUGCUCUGUCUCUUUUUCUGCCUUACGCCCCUCAGUCGAAUUCUUUCUUCUGAGGAGGCAAGGACUGAAGUUGCUGUGGACCCAUAGGGAUUCGCCGUUGGUAACUCGGGGUAACUCGGGUCUCUUCCACUGCUGACAUAUGUAGCAAGUCCCGUCUUCGGGUUGGCAGGCACCACAUGCGCAGAGAGAGGGGAAAGACCAAGAAGUGACUCAUGACAUCACCCUCGUCUCUGGAAGACAAGAUGUUGGUCUCGUCAGAUGCCCUGCAGUCUUCAGUGUUGGCUGCAGCCAGAGCCCCUGCAAUGCAGACCAGGAUGAGGGAAAGCCGCUGGAAGAGGCCUACAGCAUUUUUUAUUAGUAAAUCCAGAGAACGUGUUAUAUAAAGUGUAAGACAAUCACCA